UUUUUUUUUUUUUUUUUUGGACAUUUCACUAUGUUUCUACUUUUCUACAUGCACACACAUACACACACAAGUGGGGUGGACUGGUGCUUGUUUUGUUUUUGUUUGAUUUGCUCUACCAUUUGAAACUAAGUUGUUGACAUAAGGGCAUUUCACUUCAAAAGACUUCCUCAUGACUCCCUUAAGAAUAAAAAAAAGCAUUUCAUACUUUAUUGGAAGUAUUCUUAAUUUGUUUUUCUGUAUCUCAGUUUUAUAAGUGAGUCUAAAUCAAGAGAUACCCCAGUCGUAUAAAUCUUAACUGAUUCAGAAAGUUAGAAUGUGAAUAGAAUGGCCCCUGCAUGCAAUUGCUAGCGGAAGAGUCCAUGAGUCUUUAGUAAGUCCUCCUGUCACAGUCAAGUACUAUCAUUAUCCUCAAAUAAAAAGAUGUACAAAUCACAGGGUUGGUGUACGCUCAAUUCAAGUACAGCUCAAAGCUCUUAUGUGAUUUGCCAUCAUUUUUACAAUUAUGUCUGGUAUCCAAAUGGUGCUCAUCCUCAGUACUUCAGCUUUUGUGUAUGGAAAGGAACACUGCUACUCCCUCGACUUUGAUACUUCCUUGACAUAUUAGUCCUAAAAUUACCCUAACAAAUGAUAUCCUUAAACAUUAAACUACCAAUAUCCCUCAAUAUGUACUCAGUAAUGAAAAAUAAAUACUAACUUGAGAAUUUGACAAAUUACCACCAAUAUUUAAAAAUUGAUCACAAACUUCAUAAAUGCCAUAGAUAUUUAAAAUAAUUCUAAUAAAAAUUUUGAAUGUUGAAACCACUGUAAGAUUUAGAACAAACAUAGCACAGAAAUACAGAAUGGUAUUUCAGAAUGUGGUCAAAGCAGCCAUGUUGCCCAUGUCCAAAUUCUGACUUUUUUCCAUUUAAGAGUUGUGUAGCUUUGGGGAAAUUGUGCCUUAUUUUCUACAUUUAUAAAAAAAAAUGAGAUUAUAAUAACAUUAACCUUAUUAUUCUAUUGUGAGAAUUCAACAAUAGAGAAUAUAUUAGCAGAGUUUGUUAACACAAAGCAUACAGUAAGUGCUUGAAAAUGUUGGCUAUACCCAUAAUAUCACAAUGAUUAGAAAAAUAACUUUCUGGUUUCUGACUCCCUUUAUUGAGAAUCUCAUAGAACAUUUGUUUUACAUUGGUUAUAUUUGUCAAUAUUUACCAUGUAAGAAUUUUUUUUUACCGUGUAUGAAAUUAAAGUUUUAAAAAAUAAAACAUUAACUCUUUUUUAAAACAAUAAUUACAUUAAUAAUUACACUAUAUGUUAAAGGAAAUAAUAUAUUUUAGAAGGAAAUGGGCUCUAUUUUAUCCCCCCUGAAAAUAAUAAGAGUGGUGCUAUUUUACAUUUCUGCACAUCUCUGCAGUGUCUGGCUUCACAGAAGACAGAGAUUCUGAUGUUUGCUUCUGAGUUCAGUGGGUUGCAACAUGCUCUUUUGUUCGAUGUGAAAAUCUAGACUCACACAGAUAUGUUGUCGGAAAUAAGAGGAGUAUUUUAAUGGACGUUCCAGAAAACUUUGGAUAUUCUUCUCCAUACUACACCAAAACUCAGUAAGUGGUAGUCUAUUAAAGCUUUAUUGCGAUGUGCAAUCUGAAACCAAAGCACACUGCUAAACUGUUAUCUUUUACUAUUACAUAAAAUGCUCUCUCUUUCACCUUGGUCUUUUACUCUACAUGUUUUUCUGCUAUUGAUCACUUGAAAAAUACUAGUUCACUGAGUUGUGCAUUUAUUUCAAAUAUUAACAUAUUUUAUAUGUUAUACUGUCUUUAUCAGAAAAGUUUGUAAGGAUUGGGAAGCUCUCAAGCUCAUAGUAGUAGUCACAAGUUUUCCAAAAUUCUAAUUUUCCCUUAAAAGCUUAAAUCUUAUCACUGGCAGCAAAUAUCAGUUGAUUUUCUUUGAAGUGGCAAGAUCACUUCUUUCAUAUUUAAUUCAAUAUUUGCCAAUACCCAAGUAUUUAAAAAAAACAUAGAUUGUCAGUUAAUCUUUCAAGUAAAAAUAGUUUUUCAUGAAAAUAAGGGGACUGAUCAGCUCUCAACUCAAAUGGACAAAUGCUUUUUCUUAACAAAACAUAUUUAUGUAUGUUGCAGAAAUGCUGUUUGUGUACCUCUCAUUUGGUUCCACAAAAUAUUAAGCAGACAGGUAGGUGCUCUCUUCCUUCUGGACCAGAUGGACCACUAGGGACAGGAUUUAUCUUCCCCCCAUGUAACAACAGCAGUAACAACAAAAAACACAACAGAUAAAAUAUGUGAAUCAAAAGUUUCAAAACUCCUGGACAUCAGCCAAUAAAGACCAUUCAUCCCUGAAACACUGGAAACAAAUGAAGCCAGCCUUACAAGUGUCCUGUUUCACUCUUUCAAGAAUGUCCAAACACAAAGAGGAAAUGGGCUGAUGGACUCCCUGAGUCGAGGCAUCUGAGAUUCCAAGUAGCUAAAUAUUCAUAGGAAAGAAGAAUGAGUUGAACAAAAAAAUCCCUAGAAAUAUUCAGAGAGUCAUCCUCAAAUGUUCAGGUGGUUGAUGAUCAGCAAUCUAUUUUUGUUUGUUUAUGUAUUCAUCUACUCAUAUUGUUAUUAUAUUAUUAUUCCUUGUCUUAUACCUUCUUGAGGGUAAAUAUUUUAACUAAAAAAAUAUUUUGGAAACUUCCUAGAAUAAUAAUAAUAUCACCUUUUAAAAAUAGAAAGAACCUUACCUCAGAUUUAAAGGUCCUUGCUAGGGGUUCCUGGGUGGCUCAGUGGUUGAGCAUCUGCCUUUGGCCUAGGGCAUGGUCUUGGAGUCCCGGGAUCGAGUCCCACAUCAGGCUCCCUGCAUGGAGCCUGCUUCUCCCUCUGCCCCAUGUCUCUGGGCAGUGCCUCUGCUCAGUGUCUCUGCCUCUCUCUCUCUCUCUGUCUCUCAUAAAUAAGUAAAUAAAUAAUAAUUAAUUAAUUAAUUAAUUAAAAAAAAUAAAGGUCCUUGCUAGUUCUGGCUUAAGGAGCAAGUGAUCCUUUGUAUAACUCAGAUGAUUUGACUUGCAGCAUCAUGGGGCAAAUCCAGUCUUUUCACAUCAUUUCCAGAAAAGAUGUGUUUACUUUUUAACUGGUCAGUACCAGCUAAGUCAUCAUCCUUGUCCAAUUACCUAUACAAAUCUUUUAUUAUGAUUAAAAAUUUCUAUUGGCUCUCUAAACUUAAAAUCAUUAGAAUGUUCAGCCAUUUUAUCUUCUAACAAAUAAAGGUUCAAAUCUGACCCAGUAAUUCUUUCCUUUGGAACAUUUAGUUAGAUUAUCCCCAAAUGUAAUGUUAAUUCAUUAAUGCAUAGGACCACCAGAGUUGAUCAACUAGGGACAAUAUUUCUACCUAGUUAUCAUAUGCUGGAAUCAUUUGGUAAUUAGACAUCUGCUAAUGCCUUGUCUUAUAGAGUUCUCAGGAAGAUUAUUACCUUUAUGGAAAAUGUUUGGCUUAUUCAAAGAUAGUCCUCUUGGGACACCUAGGUGGCUCAGUGGUUGAGCAUCUGCCUUCGGCCCAGGGUGUGAAUAUGGAGUCCCGAGAUGGAGUCCCACACUGGACUCCCUGCAUUGAGUUUGCUUCUCUCUCUGCCUGUGUCUCUGCCUCUUUCUCUCUAUAUAUGUCUCUCAUGAAUAAAUAAAUAAAAUAUUUUAAACAAAAAAAAUUAGUCCUCUUUACUCUGUCUUACAGAUGAUUACACAUAGCUACAUACAUAUAUGACCUGCAUAUGCAGGAGAAAAAAAACAAGCCCAAGUGUUUAUAUUUGCUUCCUCUUUUAGGUAUCUGCUGUCAUCUUGCUUAUCAGUAAUAACUCUCUAUAUAUACUUAUACUUAAACAUUGAAACAAAGAUAUAUGUAUAUGUAGAAAACAUGUACACAUGCAUUCUAUUCUACUUACUAAAAUUAAUAAUGGGAAAGCUGGCCUUCUACUUUCAAGGUUACCCUUUUUAUCCACAUGACAACUUCCCCACUGCACCUUUUAUUUGCACUUUUUCUAUGAGUUUCAUUUUGAACGCGGGGCCAUUUCUAAACUCAAAUUAUUUCAAUUACUUAAAAUUUUGAGCUUACAUUUUCAUCCCUUAGCCAGUAACAGUCUCCCUCAGCUGGAUUAUUUGUCCAUUUAGUAUUAGUCCUGAUAUUUUUAAAAGCUUUCCUGCUUUUGGGUAAUAAUAGAAAGUUUUGUGCCCAUUCUGAAUUAUCUAUGCCCAAAAUAGAAUCACAUCUUCUCUAAGAGGUUCUGCUUCCCUUUUUUUGUAACUGGGGUUAACACUCAAAUUCUUGGCAUGAGGGGGUACAUAGGAGUACUGACUGUGUGAAGGAAUAGCUGCUUCUGUCAUCAUCUCCAAUUUUAAAGUAAUGUAAAAAUCAGUUCCUUGAAACAAAUGAGUACUGUAGCUCUGUUCAGAAGUAAGAGAAUGCCAAGAGUCCAGGGGUAUCUUCUACAUGUCCAUCCCCCUUCCUUCCUUCUUUCCUUCCUUCCUUCAACUGUCUCUCUUCUGUCAACUUUGUUUCCAUGUUCUGCUCAAGAGUCUAUGGAAGAGUAAUGUAAAACCACUCAAUGGUUGCUCUUACCCCUUCCAUGGCCGGAGCAGUGGGUGCUGCAGCCCCGUCCUUAGUGGCAGGCUGGGUGCCUGACUUCAGAGAGCUACUGAACAUGCACAGGGGACACCUGCACUCCUUCACACCAUUCUGUGACUUCAGGUUAAGUAGAAGCAAAUUUGGGAGCAGGACUAGGCUACUCACCAGGAUAUUCUUUCUUGGUCACAGUCUUUCAGCAGCAGCCUGCUCUUCUUUUUCAAUCUCUUCAGGAUCUCUAUAGAAGCAGAGAUCACCCGAGACCACUCUGGCAUUUACUUGGUGCCAUGCCAGCGCCAACUUCCUACACCAGCAUCCGCCGCAUCAGACCCUCUGAGUGAGCUCCCUCGUUGGAGCAUUAGAAGGCAGUGUCUACACACCACAGAAGAGUCUGUGUUACACAGAGAUAGCCCUGGCAAGCAGGUUAACAGACGAGGGUUCUGUGAGAGCCUGGCGGUCAGCCCUGGGAUCAAUAACCACAGCAAGUCGAGGCUCCCAGAGGCUGCCUGGAUCUGGUUAGUGAGGGUUCCAGGAGUGAAGUGGCCAGAAGGCCAGUCGUCCCGGAGAGCAGGCCACUGCUGUCAGCCAGCUGUUCAUAGGUAAUCAUGGUACGAGCUACCAGCAGAAGCUCCUCCUAGAUUCUCUUCAGAUUUAUCAUGUAUGGAUCAUCAUUUUUCCCUAGGCUUAUGUACUGCUCCAUUAGAAAGUCAAGGCUGUGUGCCAGCUAAGUGAACUUCCACUGCAAAGAAUUUGAGGACAUCCCCCUUCACUUGCAGGACAUCAGGGACUCUGGACGUCAUGAAAGUUUCCCUUUAAGUUAUGACAGUACCUUGUACAAAACCCUGCUGCUGAACUCUGUGGAGAGCUGGUGCCUUCCAGGCAUACCAAAAUGUUAUCAUAUAGAGUUCUAAGAUAUAUUGCAAGUAUUUCAUCACCCCUCUUAUCAAGAAUUUAUUAUUUGUAUUUAUUUCCCAAAGGCUCUAUGUCUAGUAACCAAAGUAUAAGGAGCUAAGAGACUGAAUGAGGAACAAUAAAUUGGUAAACAGAGCAUCUGACAUCAAUACUGCAUCAAAUCUCAACUUAAACUAAUACUUAAAUCUACUUAAGGUAUAAUUUAUAUACAAUAAAAUGCAUACAUUUUAAACCUACAGUUCAAUAAGUUUUGACAAAUAUAAAAGCCCAUUACACUACAACUAUAAUCAUGAGACUCUGUCAACAUUAUAAAGUAAAUGUCACGAAGGGGAUUAUAAUUUUCUUUAGGAGCUCUCUAUUAUUUCAACUCCACUGUCACGUUAUCUUCUCAAUUCUACAUUCUUAAGAUUAUUAGAAUUACUUGUCUCUUAAUCAACUAAAAAGAACUAGUUUAUUUUCCUUAUAGAGAAAUAUUGGGAUUCUGAAACAUCAAGUAAAGUGUGUGUUUGGUUUAUUGUCUGAAUAUAGUUUUCAUCUUUAGCUAAAUGAUCAGAUAUAAUAGCUGUAACAGCCACAACUCUAAAAUAAUUCAUAAUAUAGUCCAUAUUUCUCCAUCAGUUUUAUGUUAUUAUGAUCCCAUCUGCUUGAAAUAAUAGCAUUUAUAGAGAUUUUUGUACACAAAUUUUUUUGGAAUUUUUUUUUCACAUAGAACUACCAUUUACUCUCAAGCUAUCUUUAAUUUAUGGAGUUGAAAUUAUUUCUGAUUAAAGCCUCCCAUUUGAACCUAUACUUCAGAGUGCUUAGAAUUGACUGCUUUGUAUUCAAAACUAAAUAGAUGCUAAAAACCAGCCCCAUUCUGAUGGAGAGUUCUUUCUAUGUAAUUUUUUAAAAAUUGUAUUAUUUAACUGAAAAGCUUCUGAUCUCACUUUCUUAAUAGUAUUGCUGAGAAAAAAACACAGUGAUUUUGGCUUAAAUGUGGAAAUGUGUAAUAAUACAUGAAACAACCAGGAACUUGGAUUUUGCCCUGUUCUUGUCAUUAAAACCCUAAGGGAGUCCCCUCAAAUCUCUGGUUCUCAGUUUCCACCCUUGCAAGGUUUCCCAAAUAUAGACUCAAUCAUUCUUAGACUUUUUUCUUUUGGUUUUGUUUUACAAAUAGUACAGACAGUUCGAGGACCUUGGCCUUUUCACAGGCCUUAAUUCUAUUGGCCUAGGUCAAUAGAAUUAAGGCUUUCCAUUAACCUAAUAGUGAAACAAACAUUCAAAUAGGAUGACAAUGGAUUUUUUUGCAUUAUAUUAUUAGCAGAAAUAAUGAAAUUUAAACUGAUGAGAGGCUAGCAGCAGAAAAAUGUGCACUCACCUUUAGCCCAGAAGCUUGACCCAAAGCCUGUAGAGUUCCAAUAAGGAUCAAAUGGUGUGCUGGUAGUUACAUUUGCAAAGGGUCUCAGGACUGCCUGUAUAUCUCACCGAGAGUUAAUACCGAAAUGAUCAAGAAGCACCAGAGAAAUCUCAUAAAGGCAGUUUUAUGAGUAGAAAUUCGAAGAAAACAUUUAUGAUCUGAUACUCCCUGCAUGUCCCCUCCCCCUUGAGCCUUAAGCAUCCAAACACCAGCUUCACACAGCAAAAGUGAAGCUCUUUCUGUCCAUGGGUCCUGUUCCCAUGCUACUUAAAUAAAUUUACUGUUACACCAUUCCUAAUUCUUUCUUGGCCAUGGUACUUGAUGGAUGGAUGACCCCCCAACAAAACCAUAACGCCUUCCAAAAUCAGUCUUUUUCAAACCCUCGGACUCUAAAUUCCAGAUCCCUGACUGGUCCUAAAAUUUCUGCGCAGAGUUCUUUAUCUUCAUCUUCAUAGUGCAAUACCCUAGCAACAGGCCAGGCACAUGUGAUCACUUAACUUUUUAAAUGAUUGAAAUACCUCAGUUAAUCUCCACUACCACCUUAAAAGACGAGCUGUUUCCAAUCCGUUUUAUUGAUUAGGAGAGAAGGAUCAGAAAGGUUAAGUAAUUUCCUCAGAAUCAUGGAUUGUAAAUGACAGAGCUAAGAGUGCAUCCUCAAAUCUUCUAAUGUUGGAAAAGGUGGAUAAUUAUGGAGGUAAACUGACUUAUGUAACGUUGCCAAUUAAAUAUGUUUUUUAAAAGAGCAAAAAAGCAGAAAAAGCAGAAAGGAAACACUGAAAGAGGGUAUGAAUUCUAAAUUUGCAAAUUUACAUUUCUUGCUUAUAAAUUCACAUCAGGUUAAAAAAUAAUUGGACCUUAGCACUAAAUCAUUUGAAUUGGUCCAGUCUCACUAUACUAAAAAUAUUGAUAUAGUUUCAAAUUGAGAGUCCAACCUAAAUCCCUUAGAGCUUAUGGUUGUACACUUAAAAAUUUGUUAAGAGGGUAAUCUGAUGCUAAGUGUUUUUAUUACAAUAUGUGUAUAUAUUUUUAAAGGAAAAAAUGGUUUGACCAGUUAUAGAAUAGUUCUGCUUCUUCAUUCUGGCUAUCAGAUCUAUUCCUACAGAAAAUAUGUUAAGAGCAGUCUAUCAUAAGAAAAAUCCAAAUAUCGGGAUGCCUGGAUGGCUCAGUGGUUGAGAGUCUGCCUUUGGCUCAGGGUCUGAUUCCAGAGUCUUGAGAUUGAGUCCCACAUCAGGCUCCUCACAGGGAGCCUGUUUCUCCCUCUGCUUGGGUCUCUGCCUCUCUCUGUGUGUCUCUCAUGAAUAAAUAAAUAAAAUCUUAAAAAAAAAUCCAAAUAUCCAAUAAAUGUGGAAAAGAAAAAUUUAGAAUCCCUGUUAUUCAAAGGUUAGAGGUAUCUUUCAAAUAUCAUACUAUUUUUCUAAAUCUCUAAUUCCAGUUUUUAGUAAAGGCUCAAAUUAGAAACACCUUUCAAAUUUGUUUUGGCAAAAUGUGACAAAAGAUUUUAAAAUGUGCCUAUACCUCAAAUAAUUUAAUUUCUUACAAUUUAUCUUUCAGACAUGAACAGAAAUUCACUAGGAUGUUAAUCAACUGUAGGACUUAUAAUGUGGAAAUCUGCAUACAAUCUAAAUAUUUAAUAAUCACUGAUUGCUUAAAUAAAUAUUGAAGCAUUACAACCAUAGAAUACAAUGCAGACAUUUCAAAAUAUAUUGUAUGAGACCAAUUAAAGAUAUAAAAAGAAACUUCUAGGAUAGACAAAUCUUUAGUGACAGAAAAUAGAUUGGUAUUUUCUAAAAUUUCUAACUUGAUUAUUUUUUUAAGUGGGUUCCACACCCAGCGUGAGGCCUGAACCCAUAACCCUGAGAUUAAGAGUUGCAUGCACUACCAACUGAGUCAGCCAGGCACCCCUAACUUGACAAUUUUUAUAAUGAGGGAAAUUUCUGUUAAAAUAACAUUAAAAAUAAUCUAGUAAGUUCUAUAGCUGUAAGUUUACCUUCAUGAGAACAGUAAGUGAACUGAACAAGGUAUUUGCAUUUGUUUUACUUAUCUUUCUACAAAUAUAUAAUGAAUCAACUGAAUAUAUUAUAUUUUAGACAAAUCAGAGCUUGCAGUUGCUGAUAGAAUUUCCAGAAGGAAAUUAUAUUUAUGUAUAACUGACUUUGAUGCUCUGUGUCCAACACACUACUUCAGAGAAAACCUAUUAUGCAUCAUUCAAUUUGAUGAGCCUUUUUUGAAAAUACAGCUUUUCAUCCCUAUGAUAGAUCACUUUGUCCUCUAGUUAAUUUGAUCAUCAUAAACACUUUAAUUGCAUAAUGUGAGUUCCCCAAUGCCAUUUGGCAACACAAGCCUCAGCCUAAUUUCUUUUUAGUAAGCAAAUUUGAUUUGGUCUGUAAGAAAUGCUCCAGAAGUACCUGUAGUAUUUUUUCCUCCCCCAGGUGCAUUAGAUCACACUCAAAGCAUGCCAAUGCAGCACAGGGCCCAAAUGUCAGCAGGCACAUGAGAGACUAUAAAAUCCUAACUCCAUGAUCAAAUAACAGCUUAACUAACUUUCUUCAACAACUGAAAUAUAUGGUUUACAAAUGCACUUAAAUAUGUGAAAAAAACUUAAAGCUGUAA
rnacentral:lncRNA from 1 species